UCCCUGGUGGCUGAGCAGUAAAGAAUCUGUCUGCAAAGCAGGAGACACAGGUUCGAUCCCUAGUUGGGGGG
rnacentral:tRNA from 1 species